UCAAGCUACAAAAGGUCUAUGUAAGGAUGACUAGGUUAGAUGAGGCGAUGAAGGACGGGGUAAGCACCGAAAUAUUCCGGGUAGCCGCAAACAUGCUUUGAUCCGGAAGUGUCCGAAUGGGGCAACCCAUCACGAGUAACGUCGUGAUAUCCCCGCGAUGAAUACAUAGUUGCGGGGAAGCGAUACCAGGGGAAUUGAAACAUCUAAGUACCCUGAGGAAAAGAAAUCACAGAGAUUCCCCCAGUAGCGGCGAGCGACAAGGGAACAGCCUAAACCUCCGUCUUGCUUCCGCAAGGAAGCAGCGGUGGGGUUGCGGGACCUUGAUAUGGGAUUGUAGAGGGAAAGCAGAAGCGCCUGGAAAGGCGCGCCGCAGAGAGUGAGAGCCUCGUAAGCGAAUUCCCAAAGCACCCUAAAGGUAUCCCAAGUACUACGGGACACGGGAAAUCCUGUAGGAAUCCGGGCCGACCACGGUCCAAGGCUAAACACUACAUCUAAACCGAUAGCGUACGAGUACCGUGAGGGAAAGUUGAAAAGAACCCCGGUGAGGGGAGUGAAAUAGAACCUGAAAUCAUAGACCUACAAGCGGUGGAAGGCCUAUACGCAUGCCGCAAGGCGUGCGGAUGGCUGACCGCGUACCUAUUGAAUAAUGGUCCGACGAGUUACUGUGCGGUGCGAGCUUAACCCUUUAAACGGGGGAAGGCGCAGCGAAAGCGAGUCCUAAUAGGGCGAUUCAGUACCGUAUAGUAGACCCGAAACUGAGUGAUCUACCCAUGGUCAGAGUGAAGCUUCCCGAAAGGGAAGUGGAAGUUCGAACCUAUCAGCGUUGAAAAGCUGCGGGAUGAACUGUGGGUCGGAGCGAAAGACUAAACAAACUCAGAAAUUGCUGGUUCUCCCCGAAACAAUUCUAGGGUUCGCCUCGGGUAAUAUAAAUAACAGGGGUAGAGUAAUGAAUGGGUUGCGGGGCCUUACCAGGCUGCUGGACCCAACCAAACUUCGAAUACUGUUAUUCUUAACCCGGGAGUAAGACGACGGGGGCCAAGCUCCGUCGUCUAAAGGGAAUCAGCCCAGAUCGCCAGCUAAGGUCCCUAAGAAUAGGCUAAGUGGUAAAGGAUGUGAACUCGCUCAGACAACCAGGAUGUUGGCUUAGAGGCAGCCUCCAUUUAAAGAGUGCGUAACAGCUCACUGGUCGAGCGAUUUUGCGCCUAAGAUGACCGGGGCUCAAGCCUAUUACCGAAGCUGCGGAUUUGAUUUGCCUUCGGGCAAAUCAAGUGGUAGGGGAGCGUAGUCCGACGAGAGAAGUCAUACCGUGAGGAGUGAUGGACGUCGGACUAGUGAUUAUGUCGGAAUGAGUAGCGAAAACGCCUGCGAGAAACAGGCGCACCGAAAGUCUAAGGUUUCCUGGGGAAGGUUAAUCCGCCCAGGGUUAGUCGGUCCUAAGCUGAGGCCGUUUGGCGUAAGCGAUGGAUAAUCCGUUAAUAUUCGGAUACCGGCUGGAUGGCGUUAAAACCGGUGACGUGACGCGGAAGGUUAGGGGCUGCGCAGUGUUGGAUGUCUGCGUUUCUGUACCCGCGAGGGUAUGGAGGGAUCCUGCGGUUUCCAAGGGAGAAGUGUUCUGAUACCAUGCCGCCAAGAAAAGCGUCAUCGGGAGUCGUCCGGUCGUCCGUACCGUAAUCCGACACAGGUAGACCUCCAGAGAAUGGUAAGGUGCUCGAGAUAACUCUCGUUAAGGAACUCGGCAAAAUAACCCCGUAACUUCGGGAUAAGGGGUGCCCCGGCCAGAAACGGUCGGGGUCUCAGUAAAGUGGCCCGGGUGACUGUUUAGUAAAAACACAGCACUCUGCAAACUCGAAAGAGGACGUAUAGGGUGUGAUACCUGCCCGGUGCUGGAAGGUUAAGGGAAUGGGUUAGUAAUCGUGAGAUUGCGAAGCUUUGAACCGAAGCCCCAGUGAACGGCGGCCGUGAAAAGGUCCAUAUUCGGCAGUAACAAGCCGAUUAUUUGUGUAAAGUUGCGGCUUUAAGGAGUAAUCCUUAAAACAAAUCUGGCUAUAUGCGGGAACAUCCCAGUAUCUGAAGAUACUAAUCUUAAAUUCUAAGUUUAGUAAAAAAGCUUCAGUGGGGAAAAUCCGCAGGGAAGUCUUUAAGUAAUUUGGGACCCCUCAGAGAUCACACGCCAGCCCCUUGACAAAUUAAUCAAGGGAGAAGAUAUGAUCCACGCCUUAUGGCGACAUAAGGAAAAACGUGAACUAUAACGGUCCUAAGGUUUUGGAUGGAAUUUCAAAGCCCUUUAUGCUGGCAACGGCAUAUCGAAUCCAACUGUAUCGGUGAAGCCCUUGUAAAAGGGUAAUACCGAGGGAAGUCGUAAAUGACCCCGUAGAGACUACACGUUGGCCCCUCGUACCUUCUUGCGAAAGCAAGAAUGGGGGUGAAGAUAUAGUCCAUACCAAUAGUAAUAUUGGAGAAAUAUGAGCGAAAUUCCUUGUGGGGUAAGUUCCCACGCGCACGAAUGGUGUAACAACUUGGGCGCUGUCUCAACGAGGGACUCGGCGAAAUUGUAGUGGCGGUGAAGAUGCCGUCUACCCGCAUCAAGACGAAAAGACCCCAGAACCUUUACUGCAGCCUGCUAUUGGGUUUUGGUCCAAUAUGUGUAGCAUAGGUGGGAGGCUUUGAUGUCCCGGCGCUAGCCGG
rnacentral:rRNA from 1 species